CAGACUCAAUGCCAGCAUUAUUGCCUUUCGGUAGGCUUCAGCAUAUCCAGCCAUAAGAAUACACAAGGCUCACAUUAUUUGCUCCGUUCUAUUCUUCCUCUCCUUCCCCUGCAAACUCCUCUCGUGCCCAUUGGCAACAUUGAGGUUUGAAAGAUGACAAUCUUGGUUAUCACCGUGGACCUGCAAUGCUGCCGCUGCCGAGCCAAGAUCACCAGGGUCCUGGACUGCCUCAAAUUAAAGGAACAUUUACUAUGCAGCAGGAAAGCUUCCAUGAGGCGAGGAGGAUUUCUGCAUUGAGAAGGUGGAGUUCGAGGACAAGCUGAACAAGGUGAUUGUACGCGGCAAGUUCAGCGGCGAGAAGCUCUCCAAGAAGAUCUGCUACAAGGCCGACAGGAUCGUCAAAGAUAUCACCAUCGAUCGUCGAGGUCUGGCCGCCGCCCAAGCCGGAGGAGCCUAAGCCAAAGCCGCCGGAGGAUAAGCCGAAGCCGCCGGAGGAGAAGCCGAAACCACCGGAGGAGAAGCCGAAGCCGCCGCCGCCGCUGCCCAAACCGGAAGUGAAGGUGGUGCCGUACCCGUACCCGGUGCCGUAUGAAAGUGAUCGGGUGCUCUAGCCUAAGAGGGGGGAGGGGGUGAAUUAGGCACUAAUAAAAACUUAGACCUAUGGCUCUAACUAGUUUGCACAAAACUUAAACUAAAACAUGCUAUCUAGAUGUGCAACUAGGUUGUUCUAGUGUGAAACUCCUAUCCCAAAAGAGUUUAGCAACAUAUAGCCUUUCCUACCAUGAAACUAUUCUAUGAAAGUAAAUGCACACAAGUUGCUAGAAUGAAA